AUGUGCAUACAGCCCCAUGUAUACUAAAAUUGAGAUGAUAUAGAGAGCAUUAGCAAAGCCCCCAUGCAAGGAUGGCACGCAAAGUCAUGAAGCAUUGCACGUGUAC